UACGUAGGGGGCAAGCGUUGUCCGGAAUCAUUGGGCGUAAAGAGCGUGUAGGCGGCCUGGAAGGUCCGUUGUGAAAACUCGAGGCUCAACCUCGAGACGCCGAUGGAAACCACCUGGCUAGAGUCCGGAAGAGGAGAGUGGAAUUCCUGGUGUAGCGGUGAAAUGCGCAGAUAUCAGGAAGAACACCCGUGGCUAAGGCGGCUCUCUAGUACGGUACUGACGCUGAGACGCGAAAGCGUGGGGAGCGAACAGG
rnacentral:rRNA from 1 species